UGCUAACGUCCGUCGUGGAGAGGGAAACAACCCAGACCGCCAGCUAAGGUCCCAAAUUACUACUAAGUGGGAAACGAUGUGGGAAGGCUCAGACAGCCAGGAUGUUGGCUUAGAAGCAGCCAUCAUUAAAGAAAGCGUAAUAGCUCACUGGUCGAGUCGGCCUGCGCGGAAGAUGUAACGGGGCUAAGUAGUAAACCGAAGCUGCGGCAAUACUCUUUGAGUAUUGGGUAGGGGAGCGUUCUGUAAGCGGUUGAAGGUGUGUGGUAACGCAUGCUGGACGUAUCAGAAGUGCGAAUGCUGACAUGAGUAACGAUAAAGGGGGUGAAAAACCUCCUCGCCGGAAGACCAAGGGUUCCUGUCCAACGUUAAUCGGGGCAGGGUAAGUCGACCCCUAAGGCGAGGCCGAAAGGCGUAGUCGAUGGGAAACGGGUUAAUAUUCCCGUACUUCUUACAAUUGCGAUGGGGGGGACGGAGAAGGCUAGGUGGGCCUGGCGACGGUUGUCCAGGUUCAAGUGCGUAGGCUUAAGAGUUAGGUAAAUCCGGCUCUUUCUAAGGCUGAGACACGACGUCGAGCACCUACGGGUGUGAA
rnacentral:rRNA from 1 species